UAUAUAUAACAAAUGUAUCCGCCAAGCAACAGCUGCAACUACAGCCCCAUUUUCAACAUCCCUUCUCCUUGUAUGCAAUAUGGAGACGAACUAUUCUUCCAAUAUUAUCCUGACCAUUUCCUUCAACAGCAACAAGUGCCUUUGAUAGAAGAUCAGAGUGUUGACAUCUUAGCUGAUUGCACUGAGAAUGUUACUAACGAAGAAACUGUCAUCAAUACUGAUACUGUAAAAGUUCUUUAUGACACAGGAGCUGUUACAAACAGUCAGUGUUGGGGAGGAAAUGAAGAAGUAGAAGAAGGCCGCGAAAACAAAAGAAAUGACAUGAGAAGCACCAUUAGUAUUAUUCAUGUACGGAAAAACAAGAAAUGUUCCAAUAAAGAUCGACAUAGCAAGAUUAACACUGCUCGUGGCCUCAGAGACCGAAGGAUGAGACUUUCCCUUGAUGCAGCUCGCAAGUUUUUCAGUUUACAAGACAUGUUGGGGUUCGAUAAGGCAAGUAAAACUGUAGAAUGGUUGCUUAUCAAAUCGGAGUCUGAAAUCGAAGAGCUAGCCAAAGGCAAUAAAGGAGGAGGCAUUCCUAAACAAAGCUGCAGUACUACUAAUGGAAUUGGUGCAAUUAGUACUGCAAUAUCCUCUAUUUCUGAGUGUGAGGUUAUAUCAGGAACUGAUGAAUCUUUCUCUAUUACUUAUAAAAAGAAGCUGAAAACUGCUAAAGGAGCCUCGAAAAAGACGGCUAAAACUGCUCGUAGAGCUGCAUUUGAUCGUCUUAUUACAAGGGAAACGAGGAAUCAAGCAAGGGCUAGGGCUAGAGAGAGAACAAAAAUAAAGAAAAGCCUCGGUAAAUCCAAAGAGAACAGUGCUGAUUACUGUAAUUUGGUGGAUAAUUAUGGAGAUUGGAGUCAAUUUAGUAUCUUCAACUAUCAGAAAAAUGCAGUUGGAAUUUCCCAUGAUCAGCAGCAAUUUACAGACUUCCAAUUUUGUGGGAAUAAGCUGUGGGAAGUGUAGCUGUGCAGGGCAAGGAAAUUUUUUCAGGCACAGAAACCUUCUUCAAUUUGUGCUACUCGGCCAGAAGAACGUUGUUUGAUUCUCUGUUGGUCCAAUUUAACAUGCUGUGUAAACCCUAGCUAAUUCGAAAAGUUUACAAGAUAUGCAUUCAGUUCAUAUAAUCCUGAACAAUUCCGAACCACUUAAAGGGGCAAAGAAACUAGAGUAGGAGCUUAAAUGAUCAUUACUGAUAUCAAGAUUCAAGAUAGUAGCUUGAAAUUAUGAUUUAAAUAUGAUGCUAAUCGGGAAGAUAUUUGUAUCAUCAGUUGUUUUUGACCUUCAAAUGGCAAAAGGUGGCAGUCCUUAUAUGUAGCUUCUAAUAUUGCUUAGUUUCUUUACUCCUUAUGACUAAAUUCACUUGCUCUUGUUCGUGCAACUGUAAAUGAUUACCCCUUAUGAAACCAUUUGUCCCUUUAGCAUAAGAAAAGAAAGGGGUCUCAAUUCAUACAGCAAUUAUACUUAGUGAAAGGACAAUUUCGAUUUGGUCAAUCUAACUAAUGUGUGAUUAAGGGUCAUGAAUAUGACAGCCUUUUGUCCACCACUUUAUUUCAAUCAAUCCCUCUCCAGAUUUAAUGUAUUAAGCCUCCCGAAGAUGAAACUUGGGUUUAACCGACUCAGAGAUACUUCUAGCAUGGCGUAGUAUUGUUUGUUUUGGGCCAAGUUCGCAUGGUUUUCUCUAAAAAAUCUCGCACUAUUAAGAGAUUCUUACAUCUUAUAUGUAGGCUCCUAAUCUUUUCAGCUACAGAUGUGGACUUUAUUCGCACACUCAACAGUCUCCCUCUCGAACUAAGUUCCACGUAGCUCAUCAUUAUGACCCACGGGUCUCCCCUUUGCACCAAGUUUCACGUGUCCCAUUACCGCGAUUCACGAGUCAAUUUUCGAGAUUCACUAUAUGUCACCCAUAUCAUUAGAAUAUUUAUGGCAACCAAGCUUGCAACUAGAUUCUUGUGCGCGCGUCUCCUAACUCGUAAGGGCAAGUAAACCGAGCCCGCCACCAUCACUCAGUCAUCAUCAUAUUCGUCGCGUCGAAUUUGGGCUCUAAUACCAAUUGUUGGGCUAAACCAUUCCAAAGAUAUUCUUAACAUUGUGUAAUAUUGUCCGCUUUGAGCCUAGCCCGCAUAAUUUUUCCCAAAAGGUUGCACACCAUUAAGAGAUUCCUACACCUUAUACGUAGACUCCUAAUCUUUUCUGCUAUCAAUAUGAGAUUUUGUUAGCACAUAAAAACACAGAGAGAUAUAAACGGUCCUUGUUCUACUUUGAGCAUUUCUGAGCUAGCAUUGCUUUCUGAAAUUAAUGAAAGGUUGACAGAAGGUAACAAAAUUCCUCCCUUUGCAAUAAUUUGCUUCCUCAGGUUGAAAAGUGGAUAAUGUUUGUUAUAUUGAGGAUGAUUUACGAGGUUUACAUUCGUAGUAUUUGAUAAUCUUAAUGAGGAGUCACAUCUGAGUGACGCCAGUGUCCUACCUAAUACAGAGAAAAAUGAAAAGAUGUUGCUAUUGUCAAGAUAUGCUGUUACCUCCUAAUGAUUUACUGAUUUACUACCCAUUGAAUCCUUCAAAUUAAAACCGAUACUAUUUAGGUAGAUGAUCAGCUAAAUUAUAAUUAGCUUGGCUUAAUACAUGCAAGUGAAAGUUAUAUUCUCAUCUAGUAAUCCCCUCCUCAUGUCUCCUUUCGAGUCAAUCCGUUUAGAUAGAUUAUGAAACUUUUUUCUGAAAAUUUUUAGAGCUAAUUUUGUAUCGAAAAAACAAGCCUUGAAACCUUGUUGUCGGUCUUUCUCCAAGUCAAUUUGUUUAGAGAAUCAUUACAGAUUGAAUGGGUGUGAUGAAAAAGAAAGGAGAAAGGCAGUGGGCAGGUUAAAUGAACCAAGAAAGAAUAGUACAAAAGUGGGGAGCAAGAAAUGAAAAUAUCCACACAGAUCUCAAAUUAUUAUCCUCUUUGUCUAUCCAUCAAUUUUUAGGUGUUAAAAAUUUAUAUUGUAUAUACGGUCAAACUUCUCUAUAACAAAGUCAUUUGUUCCGAUAUAUUUUGACUGUUACAGUGAAGUGCUGUUAUAGAGUACAUAUAUUAUAAAAUAACAUAAAAAUCCGUUAAAAAAAUUAGCUUUUGUAAUGAAUGAUUAUAUAAAGAUGUUAUAGAGAUGUCUGACUCUCUCUUGCUCUCUCUAUAUAUGACAAGGAUAUAUGUGCAAAAUUUUAAAAAUGACAAAGAUAGAUAGUAGGAUCUUUGUCACUCCUGCAGUCCUGCUCAUAGCUUCAGGUAACUCUGAUGAGAUUUUGGGAGUUUCUUUGCUUUAAUUAAAAUAUAGAAAUAAUUAUGCCUCAAUUAAAUAAUUAAUUACAAGUUAUUAAUUAGCUUGGAUAUAUGGAUCCUCAUUAUCUAUUUUGCUCUUUGUAGACUGUUUCAUGUUAAGUUUCAAUAUUCAAAAAAUAAUCACACUUCCUACUAAGAAAGAAGAGGAAUUAUCCAUAAUGUUGUAGAAAAACAAACAAGAUCAUCAUAAUUGCAUAAGAUCAAAUUGAUGACUUCAUGUAAGGAAGAGACAAAGAAAUUACCUAAAUCGUGUGUGCAAUUAAAAUGUCAAUCCCUUUAAAAGUGAGAUUUGCUAAGAUUUUCAUACAAUGAUAUUAAAUAUUUAUAAAAUGAAUAAAAAAACUUAAAAUGAAUACUUAAUGAAAGAUAUAUAUAGUUCAAUGUUAUUGUGUUAGUUGGUGUUUCCAUGGAUAUACAAGUAGAUUUUCCUAUCUUAAAAGUAUAUUAGUAGAACUCUUUACACCAUUGUAGGUAGCCAAUUUUCACGGGUAGCACAUAUAGCCUUCAAAGUGAAUAGUCUCAAUUUUUGUCGUUGCUUGCCUUAUGGGUAGAAAUUCAUGUUUAACAAGUGGUAUUCCUCGUUUAUCCAUAGGUUACACUUUAAAGACCACCAUAAAGUGUCAUAUUUCUGCUAUUUUUUGAAUUUUCACGAUGGGUUAGCAUUCCAAAGUAGGGCCAAGUCCGCAUUUGGUCCAGUGCAGGCCCGACAAUAUACAUCCUUACCUUAGCACAAUCAAUCGUCUUAAUAUCGAUUGAUGAGUCCAAAAUGAGAAAAUCACACAAUAACUGGUCUAAGAAUAUUUCAUUCUCAUAAUAAAGGAAAAGGAUAAGAAAUAACUUGAUUUACUAGUGAUAAGUAAAAAAUAAUCACAAUUUCAAAAGCAAUCAAAAUUUAGUCACUCAAAGAAGUUGAAAUAAAAUGUGAAGAUAAAAUUUGAACAGAAAUAUCCUUAAAAAUCCGAAAAAAUUCCAGCACAAUAUGCUGGAGCUCGAAUUCUUUACAUAUGAGAUUCCAGCAUAAUGUGUUGGAGUUCCAACAUAAUAUAUUAGAAUUUUAUACGCUGAAACUCCAUAAUCCAGCAUAUUAUGCUGGGAUUUUUCGUGUUUCAGCUAGGAUAUUUUUGUCCAGAUUUUAUCUUUGCAUAAAAUAGUGGCUAUUUUUCGAUUACCAAUCCGAAAACUGACUAGCCCAGCUAUUUUUACCAUAAUAAAGUGUGAAAUUCAAAAAUAGUCAGAUUUACAAGUGGUAAUUGAAAAAUAGCCACAAUUUCAAAGUAAUCGAAAUUUA